UACCAGACUCCUACGGGAGGCAGCAGUGAGGAAUAUUGGUCAAUGGGCGAGAGCCUGAACCAGCCAAGCCGCGUGAGGGAUGAAGGUACAGAGUAUCGUAAACCUCUUUUGUCAGGGAACAAAGGCGGGGACGCGUCCCCGGAUGAGUGUACCUGAAGAAAAAGCAUCGGCUAACUCCGUGCCAGCAGCCGCGGUAAUACGGAGGAUGCGAGCGUUAUCCGGAUUUAUUGGGUUUAAAGGGUGCGCAGGCGGAGGUGCAAGUCAGCGGUCAAAUUGCGGGGCUCAACCCCGUACUGCCGUUGAAACUGCAUCCCUUGAGUGCGCGAGAAGUAUGCGGAAUGCGUGGUGUAGCGGUGAAAUGCAUAGAUAUCACGCAGAACUCCGAUUGCGAAGGCAGCAUACCGGCGCGCAACUGACGCUCAUGCACGAAAGCGUGGGUAUCGAACAGGAUUAGAUACCCCAGUAU
rnacentral:rRNA from 1 species